rnacentral:lncRNA from 7 species
CUGUACCUUUUCUCUAGCACACCGUUGGCCUCGCGGGAGAACCGCAUCGCAUCUCUCGUCCGAGAAGAUAAGAUUUGUGCUCCCUAUCAGCGUCCCCCAGUUUCUGCAUGAAAACCAAGCGUGCAUCACAGCUGGCAAACAAGGCAAAAGAAGAUGCAUAAGGGUACCUGAAAUGAAGCAGCUUCGAGGGAGCAGAGGAUGAAGAGCAGAUCUCCAAGCAUUAGAGAGCAAAGCAGCAAGCCUCCCCACUCAAGAGCAUUAUUUCAAGCUCCAGCUCCUGGAACAGAAUAGCAUUACCAUGCACCCAAAGGCCUCAAGCUGCUGGUAAGCUAUUGCUGGUGGCCAGAGAUGUUAGAUACUCACAAGCAUGUUCUCUUCUCCUGCAGACAUUAUCUGAAAUCUACCACUUCUGCUGCCACCUCAAGCUUACUGCAGACAGAAGGGGAACCACACCACUCCGAGCAGCAGCAGCUUAAAUCCUUGGUCUCGCACAGGGAGCCCCUACAAGAAGGAGGCAGCGCUUAAUAAGAUUAGCAAAUGUUUAAGUCUGAGCAAAUAAAGAUAGCAAGUUGUUUCUCAGC